rnacentral:rRNA from 2 species
AGUGAAGCGGGAAGAAGCUCAAAUUUAAAAUCUGGCCGGGUUACCGGUCCGAGUUGUAGUUUAUAGAAGUGUUUUCGGCGGCAACCUGGGUACAAGUCCUUUGGAACAGGGCAUCAUAGAGGGUGAGAAUCCCGUCCAUGACCCAGUGGAUGCUGCUAUGUGAUACACUUUCAAAGAGUCGAGUUGUUUGGGAUUGCAGCUCAAAAUGGGUGGUAAAUUUCAUCUAAAGCUAAAUACAGGCGAGAGACCGAUAGCGAACAAGUACCGUGAGGGAAAGAUGAAAAGAACUUUGAAAAGAGAGUUAAACAGUGCGUGAAAUUGUUGAAAGGGAAACGUUUGGCACCAGUCAUGCGUGCAGGAAAUCAGUCUAUUCAGGUGGGGAGUGGCAGGAGUUUGGACCGCAAGGCCAGCUUUUGUUGCAUUUCUGUUUGAAUGGAUGCACUUUUCUGUAUGCAGGUCAACAUCAGUUUUGUUUGCCGGACAAAACCUCAAGGGAAUGUGGCAGCUUUGGCUGUGUUAUAGCCCUGGGGCGAUACGGUGGACGAGACUGAGGCUUUCAGUGUGUGCUUUCGGGCAAGGCCGACCGGGUGCUCUGAGCUAGCACGGGGUACAAUACAUGUAUUUUGCUUCGUGUCUGGAUUAUACUCGCUCGAAUCGGCUCUUCCACGCUUAGGAUGUUGACAUAAUGGUUCUAAACGACC